CAAAUUUAUAAAAUAAAAAAACGAUCUAAAACUACUAAACAAAUUAGGGGGACUAAUAGCGGAAAUUACCCAUUAGGGCAAGAACGCGCGGACCCUGACUGCGGGUCGGGUCAACGCGCGGAUCUUCCCUCAUUAAAACGGCGCCGUUUUGAUAGUUUUAUUUAAACUAAAAUUUUUUAAAAAAAAUAUUCAUUUGCAGCUAGAAAUAAAAAAAAACUCAAACACUUUCUCUUCUCUGUUAGGGUUUCAAAAUCCCUUUUGGGCCGUCGCCGUUUUGACCCCUCUCGCCGCGGUUCUACCGCGAUCUGCGGUCAGAGGCGCGGCUAAGCCGCUUCAAUCUCCCUGAAGCCGAUUUGGAGGUAAGGGGGUUAGUGGCCGGUGGCAGAGAGCAGGUGCGGUGGCAGAGCAGGUGGACAGAGGGUCGGUUGCUGAAGAGACGUGCGGCGCCUAGGUUGGGGGCUAGGGUUUUUUUCUGAAAAUGUUUUAGGUGUUGGGCUAAUUGGGCUUUUAAUUUUUUUGGGCUGUUUUGAUUUGGGUUGGUAUUUGGGUCUAGGUAGGUUGUAAUGGGUAGGGGUUUAGGUUUGGGUUUUAAUUGGGUAUUGGGCCCUAGGCAAAUUUAGGCUUGUACACUUUGUUAUCAUCAUCGAUCUCCUAAACAAUAUAGACCAACCUGCCUUCAAAUUUCCGUACCCAGCCAUUCGUAAUUUUAUUUUCUCUACCCUUAUCGGCAUCACCCUUGCUGAAAAUGAAAUUCCACUCCUCUUCAAGAAACAUCCAUACGCCUUAUAUGCCUGCUUUAUAUCAAUCAACUUUUCAAGGAACUGCAUGCUGCAAUAAAUGGAGCCAUGGUUUUAACUUUAUCAA